UCUUGGUCAUUUAGAGGAAGUAAAAGUCGUAACAAGGUUUCCGUAGGUGAACCUGCGGAAGGAUCAUUACAAGUGAGGCUACCGAACGUUGGAAACAGCGGUUAGGAGCUUACACCCACCCGUGUCUACAUACUAUUGUUGCUUUGGCGGGCCGUGGCCUCCACUGCGGGCUCUGCUCGUGUGUGCCCGCCAGAGAACCAAACUCUGAAUGUUAGUGAUGUCUGAGUACUAUCUAAUAGUUAAAACUUUCAACAACGGAUCUCUUGGUUCUGGCAUCGAUGAAGAACGCAGCGAAAUGCGAUAAGUAAUGUGAAUUGCAGAAUUCAGUGAAUCAUCGAAUCUUUGAACGCACAUUGCGCCCUGUGGUAUUCCGCAGGGCAUGCCUGUUCGAGCGUCAUUUAACCACUCACGCCUAGCGUGGUAUUGGGGCACGCGGUCUCCGCGGCCCUCAAAAUUAGUGGCGGCGCCGGUGGGCUCUAAGCGUAGUACAUACUCCCGCUAUAGAGUUCCCCCGGUGGCUCGCCAGAACCCCCAAUUUUUACAGGUUGACCUCGGAUCAGGUAGGGAUACCCGCUGAACUUAAGCAUAUCAAUAAGCGGAGGAA
rnacentral:rRNA from 1 species